rnacentral:lncRNA from 7 species
UCUGCCGCUGCCCCGCUCGGCCAGCUCAUGCCCACGUCGCCUCCUCUCUCACCAAUAUCCGCCGCGCUUGCCGCAUGUCGAGUCUCCUCGAGCAGAUCACCGUUGUCCCUGCACCAAGCACACCGGAGAACUGACGUCGGCCACGAACCUCCGUCCCAAGACUUGCUUCUCUUGGGAAACUGCCGUGUUCACUCUCCGCCGCGCCGGAGCUCCGUUAAGCUGUUGCCGCGACAUUCUCCGUCGAGAUCCGUUUCGAGGUGAGAAAA